UCAGGACGAACGCUGGCGGCGUGCUUAACACAUGCAAGUCGAACGGAGAUUCAGCAAUGGAUCUUAGUGGCGAACGGGUGAGUAACGCGUAGGCAAUCUGCCUUCUAGAUGGGGACAACAUCCCGAAAGGGGUGCUAAUACCGAAUGUUGUACCGUUUCCGCAUGGAGAUGAUACUAAAGGUGGCCUCUGAAUAUGCUACCGCUAGAAGAUGAGCCUGCGUCUGAUUAGCUAGUUGGAGGAGUAACGGCCCACCAAGGCUUCGAUCAGUAGCCGGUCUGAGAGGAUGAACGGCCACACUGGGACUGAGACACGGCCCAGACUCCUACGGGAGGCAGCAGUGGGGAAUCUUCCGCAAUGGACGAAAGUCUGACGGAGCAACGCCGCGUGAGUGAAGAAGGUUUUCGGAUCGUAAAGCUCUUUCGUUAGGGACGAACGUGCUCUUUGUGAAUAAUGAGGAGUAAUGACGGUACCUAAAUAAGAAGCCACGGCUAACUACGUGCCAGCCGCCGC
rnacentral:rRNA from 1 species